CACGUAGGGUGCAAGCGUUGUCCGGAAUUAUUGGGCGUAAAGAGCUCGUAGGCGGUCUGUCGCGUCGGAUGUGAAAUCCCAGGGCUUAACCCUGGGCCUGCAUUCGAUACGGGCAGACUAGAGUUCGGUAGGGGAGACUGGAAUUCCUGGUGUAGCGGUGAAAUGCGCAGAUAUCAGGAGGAACACCGGUGGCGAAGGCGGGUCUCUGGGCCGACACUGACGCUGAGGAGCGAAAGCGUGGGGAGCAAACAGG
rnacentral:rRNA from 1 species